rnacentral:rRNA from 1 species
AGUGAACGCUGGCGGCAGGCCUAACACAUGCCAGUCGAACGGCAGCACAGGAGAGCUUGCUCUCUAGGUGGCGAGUGGCGGACGGGUGAGGUAUACAUCUGAAUCUGCCCAGUCGUGGGGGAUCACGAACGGAAGCUAAUCCUACAUCCGUUCUGGCCUUCAGGGUGAGGGAUGGGCUCACCACACCCUAUCAGAUUGGCCUAGGUCGGAUUAGCUAGUUUGCGGGGUAAGGGCCCACCAAGGCGACGAUCCGUAACUGGUCUGAGAGGAUGAUCAGUCACACUGGAACUGAGACACGGUCCAGACUCCUACGGGAGGCAGCAGUGGGGAAUAUUGGACAAUGGGCGCAAGCCUGAUCCAGCCAUACCGCGUGUGUGAAGAAGGUCUUCGGAUUGUAAAGCCCUUUUGUUUGGGAAGAAAGCCUGCAAGCUAAUACCCUGGGAGGAUGACGUUACCCAAAGAAUAAGCACCGGCUAACUUCGUG